GGCACGUGACAAAUUUCUUUUGGCCCGCAUCAUGGCAUUACAUUAUAGGAUAAUAAAACCGCCGCUCUACAUACCCUAACUCUCAUAGUUUCAUCAGUUUUAAUUUUUUUUCAUCUUUCUCCGUACCCAGUUCUCCAAAAACACUAAGAGAUUCAUGGAAUUAGGAUUUGGAUCUGUAUUUUUAGCGUGGUUCUUAUAAAUUGGGAAGCGGAAUUUUCUUUUCUCUCAUUCCUUUGUGCUAGUUAGUAAUUAUUCAAAGAGUAGCAAUUGGGGUUCAAAUUCAAUCCUUAUUGGUUGAGCUAGGUUAUUUUCCUCCCUUUACAGAUCUGGUCUUCACUUUUUGAGUUAUGCCUGUCCUUAUUAUGCCGUAUUAUUUUGCUAGAUUCAACGUUGCUUUAGAGGUCAAUGAAUUUAUCCAGGUUUCUCAAACUUGCAUUGUUUUAUAAUUGAUGGAACUCUUGAUUUCCUACAUCAGUAUGUAUUUGGCAGCAUGAAGUACUUUAGUGUUGUGGACUAAGAAUUUCAGUACUCUUAAGCAAUGAAACCAGAGGAUGUUAUGACUAUUAUAUGUGUCAAGUCUACAAAUUAAUCAAGUCAUUCCAUGAAGACGUUAAAUUAGCUCCAAUUCAAUAGAGAGAAGUUGCGUGUUUUUCGAAAUAGUGGUAGUAUUGCAACUAUGCAUUUUUAUUUAAUGUUAGCAGUUUAAGAGAUCGAAUGUCUUGUAAAUGAAUAUUAGUUUAAUAAUGUUAGAAUAUAUUCAUAGUUUUUUGCAUUAUUUUACAUAUGUAUACAUAUAAUAAUUUGUACUCUUGUUUAAUUAUGAAUAAAUUCUAUUUAUGGGUAAA